ensembl:misc_RNA
UUGGCAUCAUAUGGGACUGAGAUCCUCAAUUUAUCCAAAUUACAUAUAUCUUGAAGGCAGUGCAAUUUUCCAUAAGCUAUCCUGUCAGCAUGUCUCAACCCUGACCUACUUAUGGCAGCCCCAGAGAGGAGCACAAUUUUCAGCCUCCAUGUUCAUCCAACCCUUGGCUGAG